UCCUUGGUCAUUUAGAGGAAGUAAAAGUCGUAACAAGGUCUCCGUAGGUGAACCUGCGGAGGGAUCAUUACAAGAACGCCCGGGCUACGGCCUGGUUAUUCAUAACCCUUUGUUGUCCGACUCUGUUGCCUCCGGGGCGACCCUGCCUUCGGGCGGGGGCUCCGGGUGGACACUUCAAACUCUUGCGUAACUUUGCAGUCUGAGUAAACUUAAUUAAUAAAUUAAAACUUUUAACAACGGAUCUCUUGGUUCUGGCAUCGAUGAAGAACGCAGCGAAAUGCGAUAAGUAAUGUGAAUUGCAGAAUUCAGUGAAUCAUCGAAUCUUUGAACGCACAUUGCGCCCCCUGGUAUUCCGGGGGGCAUGCCUGUUCGAGCGUCAUUUCACCACUCAAGCCUCGCUUGGUAUUGGGCAACGCGGUCCGCCGCGUGCCUCAAAUCGUCCGGCUGGGUCUUCUGUCCCCUAAGCGUUGUGGAAACUAUUCGCUAAAGGGUGUUCGGGAGGCUACGCCGUAAAACAACCCCAUUUCUAAGGUUGACCUCGGAUCAGGUAGGGAUACCCGCUGAACUUAAGCAUAUCAAUAAGCGGAGGA
rnacentral:rRNA from 1 species